CCAUCUGGAGGACCGAACCAAUAAGCGUUGAAAAGCUUCUGGAUGACCUGAGGGUGGGGGUGAAAGGCUAAUCAAACUUGGAGAUAGCUCGUACUCCCCGAAAUGCAUUUAGGUGCAGCCUUGACUUAUACUGGCAUGAGGUAGAGCGACUGAUAAGAUGCGAGGGCUUCACCGCCUAUCAAGUCUUGACAAACUCCGAAUGCGUGUCAGUUCUAUGUCAGGAGUGAGGGCAUGGGUGCUAAGGUCCAUGUCCUAAAGGAGAACAAUCCGGACCAACAGCUAAGGUCCCUAAAUGAAUACUAAGUUGAACUAACGAAGUCAGAUUGCUAAGACAGCUAGGAUGUUGGCUUGGAAGCAGCCAUUCAUUUAAAGAGUGCGUAACAGCUCACUAGUCGAGGAGUUUGGCGUGGAUAAUAAUCGGGCAUUAAGUAUUCUACCGAAGCUUUGGGAUGUGUAAACAUCGGUAGGGGAGCAUUCCACUCGGCGUUGAAGGUGAGGCGUGAGCCUUGCUGGAGCGUGUGGAAAAGCAAAUGUAGGUAUAAGUAACGAUAAAGGGGGUGAGAAACCCCCUCGCCGAAAGACUAAGGUUUCCUGAUCAACGCUAAUCGGAUCAGGGUUAGUCGGGUCCUAAGGCUCAGCCGAACGGCGAGGCCGAUGGCAGAACCGGUUAAUAUUCCGGUACUACCUCAAGGAGUGACGUGGAGACGGAGCAGUGACAGUGCCGCGGACUGACGGAAUAGUCCGUUAAAGGGUGUAGAUGUUGAUUCCUGCAGGCAAAUCCGCAGGAAGAGUCGAACCUGACAGUAUGGAGCGUCCUUCGGGACAAUCCAAUAGUGCAUGUAAGCAUACUCCCGAGAAAAUCCGCUAAACUUAAUCCUUGUGGUACCCGUACCGCAAACGGACACACGUAGUCGGGUUGAAUAUACUAAGGCGCUUGAGUGAUUCACGGUUAAGGAACUAGGCAAACUGACCCUGUAACUUCGGGAUAAAGGGUCCUCAGGGUGACUUGAGGCGCAGAGAAUCGGUCCAGGCAACUGUUUAACAAAAACACAGGGCUGUGCGAAAUAGAAAUAUGAAGUAUACAGCCUGACACCUGCCCGGUGCUGGAAGGUUAAGAGGAGAUGUCAUCGCAAGAGAAGCAUUGAAUUGAAGCCCCAGUAAACGGCGGCCGUAACUAUAACGGUCCUAAGGUAGCGAAAUUCCUUGUCGGGUAAGUUCCGACCUGCACGAAUGGUGUAAUGAUCUGGACGCUGUCUCAACCGUGAGCUCAGUGAAAUUGUAGUAUCGGUGAAGAUGCCGAUUACCCGCGAUGGGACGAAAAGACCCCGUGAACCUUUACUAUAGCUUAACAUUGAAUUUGGGUAAUUGAUGUGUAGGAUAGGCCGGAGGCUUCGAAGCAGGUACGCCAGUAUUUGUGGAGCCGCUGUUGAAAUACGGCCCUUUGAUUAUUUGAGUUCUAACCCGCGGUUGCGGGGACACUGUUUGGUGGGUAGUUUGACUGGGGUGGUCGCCUCCAAAAGCGUAACGGAGGCUUCUAAAGGUGCCCUCACGACGAUUGGUAACCGUCGGCAGAGUGUAAUGGCAUAAGGGCGCUUGACUGGGAGACUAACAAGUCGAUCAGGUAGGAAACUAGAGCAUAGUGAUC
rnacentral:rRNA from 1 species